rnacentral:rRNA from 1 species
UACGGAGGGGGCUAGCGUUGUUCGGAAUUACUGGGCGUAAAGCGUGCGCAGGCGGUUUUGUAAGCCAGAUGUGAAAUCCCCGGGCUUAACCUGGGAAUGGCAUUUGGGACUGCAAGGCUGGAGUGCGGCAGAGGAGACUGGAAUUCCUGGUGUAGCAGUGAAAUGCGUAGAUAUCAGGAGGAACACCGAUGGCGAAGGCAGGUCUCUGGGCUGACACUGACGCUCAUGCACGAAAGCGUGGGGAGCAAACAGG